AUUGAACGCUGGCGGCACGCCUUACACAUGCAAGUCGAACGGUAACAGGUCUUCGGAUGCUGACGAGUGGCGAACGGGUGAGUAAUACAUCGGAACGUGCCUAGUAGUGGGGGAUAACUACUCGAAAGAGUGGCUAAUACCGCAUGAGAUCUACAGAUGAAAGCAGGGGAUCGCAAGACCUUGUGCUACUAGAGCGGCCGAUGGCAGAUUAGGUAGUUGGUGGGAUAAAAGCUUACCAAGCCGACGAUCUGUAGCUGGUCUGAGAGGACGAUCAGCCACACUGGGACUGAGACACGGCCCAGACUCCUACGGGAGGCAGCAGUGGGGAAUUUUGGACAAUGGGCGCAAGCCUGAUCCAGCAAUGCCGCGUGCAGGAUGAAGGCCUUCGGGUUGUAAACUGCUUUUGUACGGAACGAAAAGCCCUGGGUUAAUACCCUGGGGUCAUGACGGUACCGUAAGAAUAAGCACCGGCUAACUACGUGCCAGCCGCCGCCGUAAGAC
rnacentral:rRNA from 1 species